ensembl:lncRNA
GUCGUCAUGAAAAAAAACAUAAAGGGUAACACUGUUGUCUUUGACAAAUACAAUAUAAAGGGUAACACUUGUUUUUUAUUGGUCAUCAUGAAAAAAUAAUAGAAAUACACACAUACAUUUUAAUGCAAUUUAUAUCCUCUUUAUCGAUGAUUUAUUAUUGCGUAAUGUCAUCGCCUCAGUGGUGCAGUGGAGUGCACUCUGCCUAACCCACUGGAGACCGCGGCUCAAUUUCUGUGGAAAACACAAUAUCUUUAAUUUUAAACGCAAUGCUAUCAUGUCUAUUGUCAUAUAUAACCUCAGACAUAAUUAAAUUGCAAAUCUCAGUGGGAAGUGGACAGAGCUUUGAGCUUUCCUUCUGGAGACCGGGGUUCAAGUCUGGUUGAUGUCUUCUGUUGGUAGACUCUUAUCUCUAUUUCAUGCGAAUUAUAAAGUCAAGUAUAACCUUUGUGAUGUCGUUAUCCGGUGUCUUGAUGGUGCAUUGAUAAGUUCGGAGGUUAACACUACAAACAGCUCAGGUUCGGAUCCACGCAAAAACGUCGACAGGGGUACCACUGUCGUUAUUUAUUGGUCAACAUGGAAAAAACAUGAGGGGUAACUGUCGGUUUUUAUUGGCCGUCAUGAAAUAAACAUAAGGGGUAACACUGUCGAUAUUUAUUAAAUAAAACAUAGGGGGUAACACUGUUGUUUUUCUUUGGUCGUCAUGAAAAAAAAACAUAAGGGGUAACACUGUCGUUUUUAUCAAAUGAAACAUAAGGGGUAACACUGUUGUUUUUUUAUUGGUCGUCAUGAAUAAAAACAUAAGGGGUAAUACUCUUGUUUUUUAUUGGUCGUCAUGAAAAAAAACAUAAGGGGUAACACUGUUGUCUUUGUCAAAUAAAAUAAAAGGGGUAACACUGUCGUAUUUUAUUGGUCGUAAUGAAAAAAAACAUAAAAAAAGAAGAAAAUUGUCCUUCUCAAAUAAAAUAUAAGGGGUAUCACUGUUGUUUUUCAUCAGUCAUCAUGGGAAAAAAACAUAAGGGGUAACACUGUCGAAAUUAUCAAAUAAAACAUAGGGGGUAACACUGUUGUUUUUCUUUGGUCGUCAUGACGAAAAACAUAACACUGUUGUUUUUUAUUGGUCUUCAUGAAAAAAAACAUAAGGGGUAACACUGUUGUUUUUUAUUGGUCGUCAUGAAAAAAAACACAAGGGAUAACACUGUCGUUUUUUAUUGGUCGUCAUGAAAAAAAACAUAUAAAGGGUAACACUGUUGUUUUUUAUUGGUCGUCAUGAAAAAAAACAUAAGGGGUAACACUGUUGUUUUUUAUUGGUCGUCAUGAAAAAAAACAUAAGGGAUAACACUGUCGUUUUUUAUUGGUCGUCAUGAAAAAUAACAUAAAGGGUAACACUGUUGUUUUUUAUUGGUCGUCAUGAAAAAAAACAUAAGGGGUAACACUGUUGUUUUUUAUUGGUCGUCAUGAAAAAAAACAUAAGGGUUACUUAUGUUUUUGUUUUUUAUUAGUCGUCAUGAAAAAAAACAUAAGGGGUAACACUGUUGUUUUUUAUUGGUCGUCAUGAAAAAAAACAUAAGGGGUAACACUGUUGUUUUUUAUUGGUCGUCAUGAAAAAAAACAUAAGGGGUAACACUGUUGUUUUUUAUUGGUCGUCAUGAAAAAAAACAUAAGGGUUACUUAUGUUUUUGUUUUUUAUUAGUCGUCAUGAAAAAAAACAUAAGGGGUAACACUGUUGUUUUUUAUUGGUCGUCAUGAAAAAAAACAUAAGGGUUACUUAUGUUUUUGUUUUUUAUUGGUCGUCAUGAAAAAAAACAUAAUGGGUAACACUGUCGAUAUUUAUCAAUUAAAACAUAGGGGGUAACACCGUCGUUUUUAUCAAAUGAAACAUGAGGGGUGACACUGUCGUAUAUUACAGUUUUUGUUUUUAGUCUGUUGGCUGCAAAACAUUCUGAGUUAGCAUUAGGGCUGUCAACGAAUAUUCGAAGUUCGAAUAUUCGUUCGAAAUGUAUCCAAAAACGCGAAUUCGAACGUGAAAAUUAAUAUUCGAAUGUGAAAAAACACUCCCGCGGUACAAGCGCCUCUAUCUGCUUUGUGAAUGAGCCUCUGUCUGUUCGCGAUGUCCCUCAUAAUAUUCAAAUGUGAAAAAACACUCCCGCGGUACAAGUGUAACAGACUAGUAUUGUGAAGAGCGAAUGUAUUUUAUCCCCUCGGGAUUUCCGUACUUGGAU